GUCAGCAUGAUCCCUGAUCUUCCAGCUCUAACAAGUCUUGAUAUUCACUGAAAUCCAGAAGAGAAAAGCAGGAAUAUGUGGAUGGGAGACGAAUGUGAUCUUGAAAAUGCUGAAUAUGAGAUCCGAUGACAAUAUGAAAUAAUUAUCUGAAAUUUAUGGGAAGAUCUGUGCUGGAGAUGCUCAUUUAGAUGUUAUCAAUGUGCUCAUGAAAACUGAAGCAGUGGCGGAGACUGAAAAUUCUGAAGUAUGCAGGAUCUUCCUGGAAUAUAUCAAAUUACCACCAUCACACAUCCAGGAGCUUGAGCAAACUAAAGCAGCAAUAUAAAAAGGGAUAC